rnacentral:lncRNA from 1 species
GGCAGGGGAGAAAAAUGACUUGGGAAAAGCAAAAGAUAUAAUAAAUGAAAUGGAGAAACACAUUAGAAGUUGCCGCGGAGAGAGCAGGGAGGGAUACAAAAGCACAAGCACGCAGGUGUCUGGAAGCACCCUCUGUGUGUGUGUGUGUGUGUGUGUGUAGGUCUCGAGCCUUGCUCCCUUGUGGCUCUCAGUUUCCACAGUGAGAAGUGGAGUGGCUAGGCCAAGUAAAGGUUUAUAAUGCAGACCCCAGGGUGGACAGGUAGGGGUUUAUAAUGCAGAGCCCAGGGUGGACAGGUAGAGGUUUAUAAUGCAGAGCCCAGGGUGGACAGGUAGAGGUUUAUAAUGCAGAGCCCAGGAUGGACAGGUAGAGGUUUAUAAUGCAGAGCCCAGGAUGGACAGGUAGAGGUUUAUAAUGCAGAGCCCAGGAUGGACAGGUAGAGGUUUAUAAUGCAGAGCCAAGGGUGGUGCACCUGGCUGUGACAUACAUUACAUGACCAAAAGUAUGUGGCCACCUGCUCGUUGAACAUCUCAUUCUAAAAUCAUGGGGGUGGUCCUCCCUUUGCUGCUAUAACAGCCUUCACUUGGAAGGCUUUCUGCUGGAACAUACACCGAUCUCGACAAACCAUUGUUGUAUGGAUCUCGCUUUGUGCACAGGGGCAUUGUCAUGCUAAAACAGGAAAGGGUCUUUCCCAAAUGAUUGCCACAAAAUUGGAAGCACAGAAUCAUCUAGAAUGUCAUUGUAUGCUGUAGCAUUAAGAUUUCCCUACACUGGAACUAUGGGGCCUAGCCC